GAGUCAUGCAUUUCAUGGAUAAAAUGUAAGGUGAAGCUUGGCCAUGGAUGGCCUAUCUUCACCGCUGACGUUCACAUCAAUUGAUUAUUU
rfam:Pseudoalteromonas ulvae strain TC14 Contig_113, whole genome shotgun sequence.